rnacentral:misc_RNA from 1 species
GAUGAAGAACGCAGCGAAAUGCGAUACUUGGUGUGAAUUGCAGAAUCCCGUGAACCAUCGAGUCUUUGAACGCAAGUUGCGCCCGAAGCCAUUAGGCCGAGGGCACGCCUGCCUGGGCGUCACACGUCGUUGCCCCCCCAUCUACUCCUUCGGGAUUGCGGGGGGCAGAUGAUGGCCUCCCGUGCGCCUCGCCGCGCGGUUGGCAUAAAUGCCAAGUCCUCGGCGACGCACGCCACGACAAUCGGUGGUUGCGAAACCUCGGUUGCCCGUCGUGUGCGGUCGUCGCGCAUCGAGGGCUCGAAAAAAUUGCCGGGUUCCGGCUCGGCUUUCAACGCGACCCCAGGUCAGGCGGGGUUACCCGCUGAAUUUAAGCAUAUCAAUAAGCGGAGGA